CUGCAACAUGAGCAUCCCUGACUACGUGCAGUGUGCUGAGGACUAUGAGACUCUUCCCGUGGUGGUCAAACCAGUGGGGAUCAUCUCAGAGGAGAAUUUCUUUUGCAUCUAUAAGCGAAUCUCCUUGGUGAGCCAGAUCAGCCCGUGCAGCUCCCAGGGCGCAUUCUGUAUGCACUACAGGCACCACUAUGCGCCCAAGAAUGGAUGGAGCGGCUUCCAGACCCACCGCAUGGUUGUGGGCCUUGUCACCAUUACCGACUGCCUCUCGGCCAAGGCCUUCGGGAAGCUCCACGUGCAGAGGUGCUGUAUGGCACCACGCUUAAUGACUCUCAGCUCUUUGUCUUUGUGCUGCAUGGGGAGGUAGCCAAGCAGCCGCGCACCGACGUGGCCUUCAAUCUACGAGGACUGCAGGGUGGUGGAGAAGAGGAUCGAGGACUUCACUGAGUCACUCUUCAUCUUGCUCAAGUCCAAGUGGCUGGAUGGGGCCCCUGACAAGUCUGGGGACAAGAUCCCACUCCUCUGCAUGCCGUUUGAGAAGGAGGACUUCAUGGGAUUGGACACAGACAGCAGGGCCCUGUGAUCUACAUGCCCGCUCUCCCCAUCUGCUCCUUGGAGAUGAGGUGUCAUGUUUAGGAGCCUGGGCACUCUUGAGGGCACAGAUGCCAGCACCGUGCUACACCGAUGCUGGCUCCGUUCACCUCACAUGUCACCUCCUGCUGAUCCCCGAGGCAACAGUCAAGUACGUUUUGGUUACUGAGACCCUCGAAUUCCCAUAUGAAUUGUAGCAGCAGCUAGUUAGUUACUGCAGAGGAGCCCACUGGGAUUGUGAUCGAGACCACGUUGAAUAUAUGGAUCGCUCUGUGGAGCACUGACAUUCCAAGAGCGCUGUCAUCUGAUCCAGGAAUGUGCGUGGUGUGUCUGUCCAGGUGCCCUCACCUCCAGUGGCAUCCAUCCAGACACCAGCACUGACACUGGCCGUGCUCAGAACUGCCUCAGCCCUGAAGACACAACUGACAAAUAGAAGGGGGCCGUGCCCUGUUACAGCAGGUGCUCUCACUUUGUGGGUCCUUAUGUAACUGCGUGGUGUUAAUCAGGAUCGCCAGUUCUACAUUGUGUGAUGCUGAUGCCGUGUCUCCUAGUUAUUGUUUCUGGCCUGCAACAUGAGCAUCCCUGACUACGUGCAGUGUGCUGAGGAAUACGAGACUCUCCCCGUGGUCGUCCAACCUGUGGGGAUCAUUUCAGAGGACAAUUUCUUUUGCAUCUAUAAACGAAUCUCCUUGGUGAGCCAGAUCAGCCCGUGCGGCUCCCAGUGGGCACUCUGUAUCCACUACAGGCACCACUAUGCGUUCGAGAAUGCGUGGAGUGACCUCCAGACCCACCGCACUGUCGUGGGCCUUGUCACCAUUACCGACUGCCUCUUGGCCAAGGCCUUCGAGAAGCUCCAUGUACAGAGGAGCUGUAUGGCACCACGCUUAAUGACUCUCAGCUCUUUGCUUUGUGCUGCAUGGGGAUGUAGCCAAGCAGCCGCGCACCAACGUGGCCUUCAAACUACGAGGACUGCAGGGUGGUGGAUAAGAGGAUCGAAGACUUCACUGAGUCACUGUUAAUCUUGCUCAAGUCCAAGUGGCUGGAUGGGACCCUGACAAGUCCGGUGAAAGGAUCCCCCUCCUCUGCACCUUGUUUGAGAAGGAGGACUUCAUGGGACUUGACACAGACAGCAGGUCGUGGUCCCAAAGGAGCAAGCAAACACCCAGUUGGUCACCAUGCAGUGCUGCUACAGAGGGAGACCUGCCAAGACCUAAAGGAUAUUAUCAGAGAGGACUUCCUGGAAGAAAUGGGCUCUACAUUCAGUUGUGAAGACAGAAUCGUUUUGGUUACUGAGACCCUCGAAUUCCCAUAUGAAUUAUAACAGCAGCUAAUCAGUUUUUGCAGAGGAGCCCACUGGGAUUGUGAUCGAGACCACGUAGAAUAUACGGAUCACUCUGGGGAGCACUGCCAUUCCAAGAGCACUGUCUUCUGAUACAGGAAUGUACGUGGCGUGUCUGUCCAGGUGCCCUCACAUCCAGUGGCAUCCAUCCAGACACCAACACUGACACUGGCCAUGCUCAGAAUUGCCUCAGCCCUGAAGACACAAGCGACAAAUAGAAGGGGGCCGUGCCCUGUUACAGCAGGUGCUCUCACUUUGUGGGUCCUUAUGUAACUGCGCGGUGUUAAUCAGGAUAGCCCGUUCUACAUUGUGUGGCGCUGCUGCAGUGUCUCCUAGUUAUUUGUUUCUCUGUCCACGUGGGUCAAAUCAUGGUGCCCCUCUAAAACCUCCAAAAAAAAACAAAGUUGUAUCUUUAUUUUGCAACUUGCCAUCUCUACAUAAGUGCAGAAGAGUUAACAUCGUGAAAGACCAGAGCCCGGAGAAUAGGCUCUCCUGGAUAUUUCAGGCUAAAGGCAACUUUCUUUAACAAAAGGAUCUGAGGAGCAGGAGCAAGGAACGCAGGGAGAGAUCCAGGAAGACAUCUGACUGUGUUAAGAGACGACAGUCACAGCCACACGGGGAGCGAGGACACUUGCAGCAAAGUAAAACGACUUCACAACUAUUACAUCAGAGCUGCCGGUGUGAGAGAGCCUAAGCCUGUCUCAGAGUGCAGGGGACAAGCGGAAACGAAUGUGUAAGAAUGCUGGUGACUGAGUUAGAAGCAUGCUUCAAAGCUGUCCGUGUCCUUGCCAUCCAGAAGCGGAGCCUGGGAGCUUCCGAAUUUCUCCAGAAUGCGGUUUACAUUCAUCUUCGACAGACGUUUCCAGUAAGGAUGGGGAGCAGAAGAGAAAACCCCCUGCUUCACAGUGGAAGCUGCUGUUUUGUGCAAAACUGACCAAAGUUUGGAGACCAGUCAUCAGUGGUGCUGGCAAAUGAAGAGACUUCGGGAUUGGGUGGGGCCCUUGCUGCGACUUUCAGGUGACCUGCUGGCUGGGGGCUGUGUGGCAGGCAGUAGGUUUGCAGGGUGACCCGGGCAUAAACCCUGGCUCUGAGGCUGCUGGUCUGACUAGCAAACCUGGGCACCCGCAGUCCUAAUGGGGCAGCUCGGGAUGUGGCCUGGGACAACUGCUGAGCUGAGGGCGAGAAGAGGGCUUCCCUGAGGGGGUGUCAUGCAGAGAGUGGGAACGUGUUCCUGCAGGGGAGGAAGAGCCUCUGAGCAGAGUGCUGGAUGCACAGGCAAGACCAGUCUGAGCACGGAAGCUUCUGGGAGCCAGAAGUCAUACAAUGGCCCGAACUGCAUUGUUCCUGCGAGACUGCAGGGAAAAGAUGCUGAAAAGGUAGGCUAGGGUCAGACCCUGUGGUGUUUUAUGAGUGACAGUAAAGGACUGGUCCGGCAGGCCGGAGAGAACCCUGUGGGCGUCCCAGCUGGGGCGUCACGCCGGAGGGAGGAGCAGUGUUAUAGACUUUGCCACUUAUUAGCUGUGUGACUUUGAGCAAGAUCACCCCACCUCUCUCUAUAUAUAUCUUCAUCUGUAAAGUGACAGAGUGACAAGCUCGUGUCAUCAGAAGGCUUAGUUUAGCUCUGAUCCUCUUUGUCCAGUCCUGUCAGUGCUGCCCUGUGAGGUUCUGCAGCGGCUGCUCUUACCCUGAGAUGGGAGGGCGUAGAGGGACAUUGUAGUGCCCGAGGGCAGGAAGGGGUUGCUUUAAAAGCAGACAUGUUGCCGCCUGCAGCUGCAGGCCUGCAGGCAGUUUGGUUGAAGGUCCUGCAGGGGACUUUGGAGGCCUUAGGUUGUGGAGAGUACUUUGGACGCCUUAGCUUCCCCUUAAGUCUUGUUUUCCCUUGCAGACCGGAUUUGCCUUUGCAGAUUGAUGCUGAAGAUUUGGGCUUCUAGCAAAGCUGUUUUCAGAGAUGGGUAUAUACGUAAAAUAUCGUAUAAAAUAAAAUGAUUUAUUUAACGUGUGGGACUUCGCAGCUGUUGGGAACAGCUCUGUUGUCCUGGUCGUCACGGAGGACACCAAGGGUCAGCAGAGCGUGCGGGAGGACAGGUAGCCUUCAGUGCUGCUGCGGGGUGUUCUCCCGAGUAGAGCACUCUGCUGAGUUGACUCUUCUCUGAGUUUGGUUGCCAGAUGAGCAGACAGCAAAUUAAUGAGUUCUGGUGGGAUUGUAUAAUGACAGGAAGAAAGAGGAAACCGUAGUUUUUCCGGACUAAAACACGCUUUUGUUUCCUGAUCCAGUGUGUUCCAUUACAGAAUUGAUGAGUUCUGUCUAUUCUGGGACUUCAUUGAAAUAAACGUUCAGCCUAAAUGUUAAGAGUUAUGUUUUCUUUGGCUGGAGGACUCGAGCCGGGAUGGCAACCUCUCAGAUCACUCUGAGGGACUGCUCACAAGAGGUAGGGGAGGAGCUAGGAUAUAUAGAAGUUUUACAAGAAAGACCAGGUAGUUGGAACAAUAAAAUAUUGCUUGUUAUCUAAAGAAAACCAGAUAUCUCAAGAUCAAGUAUUUAGUGCUUUUCUGUGUAUGGGAGGAAGCAAACAUUUGUGUCAUUGAAUUCAUCCCUUUGGCAGGUACCUAGGUAUCUAGGGCCAGUAUCCUGUCCUUUCUUACUAUGAGUCCGCUCAGAGGGCACCACUGUGAGUGGCUGAGAGGCUGGGCUGUAGGCAUGCAGUCGCUGGGGGGUGGCAGCAGCCGCUGAUGACUUGGUUUCAGCAUUCUUUGUUUACUGACAUGGUUGCAGUAUUUUCAUUCACAUUGUAGUAUUUUCAUUCACGGACUGAUUAUGGAUAAUCUGCAACCUUGGAAAGCAACCGAGAUGGAAUUACUGCAGGUAACUUCUACUUUAAUAAGCCGUGUGCAAACAUAAACAUGGAGGAAGCAUACAUUUGGAUUUGGUGGUGUAGUGAAGGGUUUCUGCACAUUACAGGAGAACGCAAUGCAGAAUUUCUUAAGUCCACCUUUCUUUUCUGGAGUGGUUUCUGAGAACAGUUUAUGGUAAUUAACCAACAUUGACAAAUGGUGGCACACUUUGCAUUUAAGAGCUGGCCGGCUGCAAACUUGUGUAUUGGACAGGUG